rnacentral:rRNA from 1 species
GACGAACGCUGGCGGCGUGCCUAAUACAUGCAAGUUGAGCGAUGAAGAUUGGUGCUUGCACCAAUUUGAAGAGCAGCGAACGGGUGAGUAACGCGCGGGGAAUCUGCCUUUGAGCGGGGGACAACAUUUGGAAACGAAUGCUAAUACCGCAUAAUAACUUUAAACAUAAGUUUUAAGUUUGAAAGAUGCAAUUGCAUCACUCAAAGAUGAUCCCGCGUUGUAUUAGCUAGUUGGUGAGGUAAAGGCUCACCAAGGCGAUGAUACAUAGCCGACCUGAGAGGGUGAUCGGCCACAUUGGGACUGAGACACGGCCCAAACUCCUACGGGAGGCAGCAGUAGGGAAUCUUCGGCAAUGGACGAAAGUCUGACCGAGCAACGCCGCGUGAGUGAAGAAGGUUUUCGGAUCGUAAAACUCUGUUGGUAGAGAAGAACGUUGGUGAGAGUGGAAAGCUCAUCAAGUGACGGUAACUACCCAGAAAGGGACGGCUAACUACGUG